CCUACGGGAGGCAGCAGUGGGGAAUAUUGCACAAUGGGCGAAAGCCUGAUGCAACGACGCCGCGUGAGGGAUGACGGCCUUCGGGUUGUAAACCUCUUUCAGCAGGGAAGAAGCGAAAGUGACGGUACCUGCAGAAGAAGCGCCGGCUAACUACGUGCCAGCAGCCGCGGUAAUACGUAGGGCGCAAGCGUUGUCCGGAAUUAUUGGGCGUAAAGAGCUCGUAGGCGGCUUGUUGCGUCGGUUGUGAAAGCCCGGGGCUUAACCCCGGGGUCUGCAGUCGAUACGGGCAGGCUAGAGUGUGGUAGGGGAGAUCGGAAUUCCUGGUGUAGCGGUGAAAUGCGCAGAUAUCAGGAGGAACACCGGUGGCGAAGGCGGAUCUCUGGGCCAUUACUGACGCUGAGGAGCGAAAGCGUGGGGAGCGAACAGGAUUAGAUACCCGUGGUAGUCCACGCCGUAAACGUUGGGAACUAGGUGUUGGCGACAUUCCACGUCGUCGGUGCCGCAGCUAACGCAUUAAGUUCCCCGCUGGGGAGUACGGCCGCAAGGCUAAAACUCAAAGGAUUGACGG
rnacentral:rRNA from 1 species